UUGGGGACGUCGGGGCAAAACGUCAGCGACAUCUUCAAAUACAGCAGCAUGGAUGACUACCUGGAGAUCCUGGAGUGGACGCUGCUGGCGGGACACAUCAGCCCCACAGCCCCGGACACCCUGGGCUGCUACCCCUUUUACAAAUCGGACCCUUUCAUCCUCACCAACUGCCCUCACGUCUACUUCUGCGGCAACGCUCCCCGCUUCCAGUCCAAGCUGCUCAAAGGGGAGGAGGGGCAGCAGGUUCUGCUGGUGACGGGGCCCGCCU